UACGAAGGGGACUAGCGUUGUUCGGAAUCACUGGGCGUAAAGCGCACGUAGGCGGAUUCGUAAGUCAGGGGUGAAAUCCCGGGGCUCAACCUCGGAACUGCCUUUGAUACUGCGGGUCUUGAGUCCGAUAGAGGUGGGUGGAAUUCCUAGUGUAGAAGUGAAAUUCGUAGAUAUUAGGAAGAACACCGGUGGCGAAGGCGGCCCACUGGAUCGGUACUGACGCUGAGGUGCGAAAGCGUGGGGAGCAAACAGG
rnacentral:rRNA from 1 species